rnacentral:rRNA from 1 species
UAGUAUUCGUGGAUCAGCUUGCCACGGUGAAUUCGUUCCCGGGCCUUGUACACACCGCCCGUCUCACCACGAGAGUUUGUAACACCCGAUGUCGGUAGGGUAACCUUUAUGGAGCCAGCCGCCGAAGGUGGGACUGAUAUUUGGGGUGAAGUCGUAACAAGGUAGCCGUUUCGGAAGGUGCGGCUGGAUCUCCUCCUUUCUAUGGAA